UGAUUUUCAAAUGUGACACUAAAAGCACAAGCAACAAAAGAGGAUAUUUUGUACUUCACCAAAAUUAAAAAUUAUUUGCACAUCAUGCAUCUUUUAAAGAUCUAGUACUCAUAAUAUCUUAAUGACUCCAUAAUUGUAUGGUAAAGACAACUGGAGUUAAUAAUGCACAAAAUAAGCUAUUUCUCUGAAGAGUAUGUACAAACGCCUAACAACCACAAGAAAUUACACUCAGCCUCACUAUUCAUUAUAAAAAUCAAAUUACAAUGAAAAUCAUAUACUACUUCAUGCUCACUAGAUGGCUAUAACAUAAAAAUGGGAAUUAAGUAGUGUUGGUGAAGAUGUAUGGAAAUUGAAGUCCUUAUCCAUUGUUGGGAGAUGUAAAAUUCUGCAGCCAUGGUAAAUGAUUUGUCAGUUCCUCAAUAAACAGAAUUUCAUGACUGGAUGAUUUCACUUACAGGGUAUAGCCAGAAGAAUUGGGAGCAUUCAAAGACAUGUACACCAAUUUUCUUAGUAGCUUUGUUCAUAAUAGUCAAAAUGUAGAAAAAUCCCAAAUGUGUGUGUGUGUGUGUGUGUG
rnacentral:lncRNA from 1 species